rnacentral:lncRNA from 1 species
AUUAUGAAUACGAAGAGACAUUGUUAAGCAAUAUGAUAAGUUUAUCAAUGUCAGUAGGGACCAAAGUUGAAAGAACCCCCUUCUAUGAAAAUUCGUGUUCUGCAUUUGGAAGAUUCAAAUGGAUAUUUCAAGUGUUCAUUGCUAGUGAAAUGUUGCUCCCUCAGCAUCAACAUCAAAGCUGUAGGAAAAUUGUCAAGACAUUCCCACCCAAACUUGGGAAUAUGGUUUACUGUUACUGCUGCCAUAUGGGGUGUCAUGCUGUCAUCAAGAUGUAUAGUGCCAAAUGUAUUACAUGUCAAUUCAUAGUGGCUAAUUGUCUACAUAUUGCUAGGAGGAGGAUCCAGUACCAGCAUAUAACGGAUGAUAUAUAUUUUAUAUGCAAAAAUUAUUUUUUGACUAUCCUCAUAGAUAUAAUGUGAUGAUAUAUACUUUAUUUU